AUUGAACGCUGGCGGCAGGCUUAACACAUGCAAGUCGAACGAGUGGCGGACGGGUGGGUAAUGCUUGGGCAUCUAGGUUAUGGAGGCGGAUAACUACGGGAAACUGUAGCUAAUACCGCCUACCGUAGGAUGAGCCCAAGUGGGAUUAGGUAGUUGGUGCGGUAAAGGCUCACCAAGCCGACGCGCUCUAGCUGGUCUGAGAGGAUGACCAGCCACACUGGGACUGAGACACGGCCCAGACUCCUACGGGAGGCAGCAGUGGGGAAUAUUGCGCAAUGGGGGAAACCUGACCCAGCCAUGCCGCGUGAAUGAAGAAGGCCUUCGGGUUGUAAAGUUCUUUCGUUAGCGAGGCGUUAACUACAGAAGAAGCACCGGCUAACUCCGUGCCAGCAGCCGCGGUAAUAC
rnacentral:rRNA from 1 species